UACGUAGGGUGCAAGCGUUGUCCGGAAUUAUUGGGCGUAAAGGGCUCGUAGGCGGUCCAUCACGUCGGGAGUGAAAAGCUGGGGCUUAACCCCAGUCCUGCUUCCGAUACGGGUGGACUAGAGGUAGGUAGGGGAGAACGGAAUUCCUGGUGUAGCGGUGAAAUGCGCAGAUAUCAGGAGGAACACCGGUGGCGAAGGCGGUUCUCUGGGCUGACACUGACGCUCAUGCACGAAAGCGUGGGGAGCAAACAGG
rnacentral:rRNA from 1 species